AGUUGAAGAAUCACAGCAUCAAACUAGCAACUUCCAGACCAAGCAAAUUUGCCAGAGUCCCUCUGCAGUCAUUAGAAAGAAAACAGUUGAUCCACAGGACUAUUCAAAUGGAGGGUUCAAGCCUUGUGCUUUGUUGCUUUGCUGCACUGGACUGAUUAGGUGAUGAGAAUGGAUGGGACUAAGACGGCUCAACAAUUACCUUAUGGAAAUCUAAAGACAGCAAACCAUGAACCAGACACACAGAAAGACAAAAACGUUUCCAAGACACACCAGGAGGGAUGUUCCACUGUUUAAAAUGGUGACAUUGGGCUGGAAGCAUAAGCCAUAUGAACCCUUUGGGGAGCAAAGGAAAUCUAACUACCUUAAUCCAGAUGGUUUCUCUUUAAAGAUUCUUCAACAAG